GAUGAACGCUAGCGGCAGGCCUAACACAUGCAAGUCGAGGGGUAGAAGGAGCUUGCUCCUUUGAGACCGGCGCACGGGUGCGUAACGCGUAUGCAAUCUACCUUGUACAGAGGAAUAGCCCAGAGAAAUUUGGAUUAAUGCCCCAUAGUAUAUAACCUUCGCAUGUUGGUUAUAUUAAAGUUCCAACGGUACAAGAUGAGCAUGCGUCCCAUUAGUUAGUUGGUAAGGUAACGGCUUACCAAGACGAUGAUGGGUAGGGGUCCUGAGAGGGAGAUCCCCCACACUGGUACUGAGACACGGACCAGACUCCUACGGGAGGCAGCAGUGAGGAAUAUUGGUCAAUGGUCGCAAGACUGAACCAGCCAUGCCGCGUGCAGGAAGACGGUCCUAUGGAUUGUAAACUGCUUUUAGACAGGAAGAAACCCUCCCACGUGUGGGAGCUUGACGGUACUGUAGGAAUAAGGAUCGGCUAACUCCGUG
rnacentral:rRNA from 1 species